CAGUUGUAUAGUGAGCUUUAUGUUUUGUAUACAGAAUAGAAAACUUGUCCAAGGAAUACCCAGGUUGAUGAGAUGUGACAAGACAGUUGUAUACAGAGCUAUAUGUUUUGUAUACAGAAUAGAAAAACUUGUCCAAGGAAUACCCAGGUUGAUGAGAUGUGACAAGACAGUUGUAUAGUGAGCUUUAUGUUUUGUAUACAGAAUAGAAAACUUGUCCAAGGAAUACCCAGGUUGAUGAGAUGUGACAAGACAGUUGUAGCAGCUGUUUAACUCAUUAGAAUGAUGGAUACUGCUUGAUGUUAAGGAGAGGGGUUGCUGUCUGUGAUACUGGAACAGAACACAAUUAUAUUAUCACUUGUUGAUUAAUAAACAACCAACUUUGGA